GAAGGGAGAGAGCGCAAACGUCAUCCCGUCUGUACAAGGAUUUUCCUGUAGCAGUGGCAGUGCAGCAAAAUUGCUUGGGUGAAGGAAGAUGCGUUCCACUGAGAGAAUUCCACUAUUUGGUCCCUACCCUAGUCUACUAAAGAAAAUUGAGCGGGAAACAUGGAGGGAAAGUGGCGUUUCAUUAAUUGCCACUGUCACUCGGCUGAUGGAGAGGUUGUUAGACUACAGGGACUGCAUGAAGAUAGGAGAGGUGGAUGGCAAGAAGAUUGGCUGCACAGUUAGCCUUUUGGUUAGUGUCUGACUCCGUCUCCCCCUUCCUUCUAACCUCUGCUGCUCUUCACUGAAGCACUAAGUUUUGUUUGUUUUUAAUCUUCCAUGUGCCCUUUUUCAGGAUGUUUCUUACAAAAAUGGAAAAGUGUUUUUUUUAAAGGGAAGAUAGUGACCCUUAGGUUGAAUGAAGCCCAGAAAAUCUUCAGCUCAGAACAUUGCAGAAUACUCCUGCUGGGCUGGGCUGGGCUGGGCUGGGCUGGGCUGGGCUGGGCUGGGCUGGGCUGGGCUGGGCUGGGCUGGGCUGGGCUGGGCUGGUAGCAGUGAGCAGACCUCACAGAGGGACUGCGUGCUGCUGUCUUCCCCUCUUGAGUUUCUUACUCAGUCUAGAUGCUUUUCUUGGAAAAGCACAAUAUCGGCAUUGAAGUCCCUUCAUUUCUCUGUUGACUAUUCCUGUCUGCCCAUCUUCUUCCUCUCCCUCACAAUCUUUGUAUGUUUUCAUAACAAUUACUGAACUCUUAUUUUCUAACCUGUGAAAAUUUUCUGCUUUAAUAUGCUUAAGUUUCACUCACUGUCCCCUGCACAUUGAAUUCAUAAUAACACGAUUGCAAAGAAUUGCAUUGCAAUGCAUAGAUGACAUAGCUAUAUGGACAGGAGUCUAAAUCGUAAUUUACUCUAGAUCAACCAAAAUUUAUUUUUUAAAAAAGUAUCACUCCCUUUUUAUUAAGUAGAUUGGAAUUUCAUCAUGAAAGAUGAGUCCUACAUUGGACAUUAGUUAUUGUAUUUUGCUAUCUAGUGAGUUAAUGCUUUUACUAACUUUCCUCCAUCUUGGAACUGAAGAGUGACCUCUUGCAGUUCUAAACCUGUGAAUGUUCUGGGUUUUUUGUUUUUCUCUUGUAUUUCUGAGAGCACAUGAAAUGUCCUUGUCUGUUAUAAACAUUGUACUGUCGUUGGCAUUCUUGCCCUACGUCCUGAAACUUUUGCAGCUGUGCUUUGCCUGCGUCUUGAACUUUUGAUCUGCCGAACGGGUUUGCUGCUGCUGCUGCUGCUGCUGCUGUUUUCUUUCACUCAAUCCCUUCAGUCCCUUCUCAAAUCUCUCAACUUUGACUCCACUACCUUUCUGUUGCCCUAAUUUUUUGCUGUGCUGCUUUUCACUUCUGAGCUCAUGACCCUAUCUUUCCUUACCACACCCACUUCUUCCUCCUCAUUUUUUAAUGACUUGUUAUAUCUCUACCUCGAUCACCAGCCCCUAAAAAUAUCGAGCCCUAAGCAUGCUCUGUGAGGGUGCAUCUUAUUCACACCGACAUACUUAUAUAAUUUUCUUCCUUAAAACCAACAGUGAGCGGCUAUCAGCCCACCCACUAUGCUAGCCAUGACCUCUCCUCUAACAGUCCCUUCUCGGCUCGGCACAGUCCUUCCCUCUGUCCAGCCUUCCAGCUCCUCAGUAUUUUUCGUCUCUCUGCCAUCACAAUCAGGACCCUCACCCCUUUCCACGUCCUUGCUUAUAUGUCGUGUGCUCUGUGAGCUUCGGUUUGAAUCCUCAGCCCAGGCACAAACGCUCGUAUAACCUCAGAGCAGAAACAUUUCCUGUUUCCUAAGGAGCCCUGCCACCCUCAUCUCCUCUCCCAGUUCCUUCUCUUUGGAGAUGAACAUAGUAAUGCAGCCCCCUCGGCUUAUCUCCUCGGCUGGGCCAACAGAAGAGGCCCUUUCCUUUGGUAAAGGAAUGACUAGUUUGCACUGUGUUCCUUCUUGUCUUCUAUGGGGAAUAAGAAGGAAACCUCAUAAAUCAGGGGCCCUGUUGUAAUUACUUGAGCCUAACACCAUUAGCUUUGGAGUGUGACAAAGAGCAGAGAAGGUGAGCAUUUUGAAAAAGCUGUUCCAACUGCAAACCAGCAGUGAUAAACCCAGCUUUAUCACAUUGAAGCUAAUCUCUUUAGCUCCUACUCUAAAUGGAAAGUUUUGGAUGUUUGCUAGUGGCAAUAUGGCUCCCGUCACUACCUCCCUGUGAGGUCAGCAGCAGAUCCUGCCAGGGGGCCUCUAACUGCUGGUGUUCGGUCAGAGCUUAACUCACAGUUGGUGACAGUGCACACUAUUUGACAUGACUAACAGGAGGAAUUAUAAUUAUUAUUUUGUUCUCUGUGUUACAGUUUUUAGCAGACAUAUGUGAGAGAUUGUCAUCUGCCAGCUGGGGAGAUGUCGGGCUUUGGUUGGUUGUUUUUUUUUUUUUUUUUUUAAGGAGGAAUAUUCAUUUACAAAGUGAUCGCUUAUUUUUGUUCUGAAAGAACGCAGCAGCUUCUUAACAGAAAGCUAUUAGAACAGAUCGUCCUUUAAUAAUGUAAAACCUGCUGUGGGGCUGUUAGAUUGUGUUUAUGGUACAAUUCUUGCUAAUUAAAAUGAUUUUGAUGAU
rnacentral:lncRNA from 1 species